rnacentral:rRNA from 1 species
UACGGAGGGUGCGAGCGUUGUUCGGAAUUAUUGGGCGUAAAGCGCGUGCAGGCGGUCUGUUAAGUCUGAUGUGAAAGCCCUGGGCUCAACCCGGGAAGUGCAUUGGAAACUGGCAGACUAGAGUACGGGAGAGGGAAGUGGAAUUCCGAGUGUAGGGGUGAAAUCCGUAGAUAUUCGAAGGAACACCGGUGGCGAAGGCGGCUACCUGGACCGAUACUGACGCUGAGACGCGAAAGCGUGGGGAGCAAAC